GACGAACGCUGGCGGCGUGCCUAAUACAUGCAAGUCGAACGGUCUUUUCUAUGGAAGCUUGCUUCCGCUGAGAAGAUAGUGGCGAACGGGUGAGUAACACGUGGGUAACCUGCCCAUAAGAGGGGGAUAACAUCCGGAAACGGGUGCUAAUACCGCAUAGUUUUCUUGAUCGCAUGAUUGAGAAAGGAAAGACGGCCUUUGUGCUGUCGCUUAUGGAUGGACCGCGGCGGAUUAGUUAGUUGGGGAGGUAACGGCUCACCAAGACGAUGAUACGUAGCCGACCGUGGAGGGUGAUCGGCCGCAUUGGGACUGAGACACGGCCCAAAAUCCUACGGGAGGCAGCAGUAGGGAAUCUUCCGCAAUGGACGAAAGUCUGACGGAGCAACGCCGCGUGAGUGAAGAAGGUUUUCGGAUCGUAAAACUCUGUUGUCAGAGAAGAACAAGUCGGAGAGUAACUGCUCCGGCCUUGACGGUAUCUGACCAGAAAGCCACGGCUAACUACGUGCCAGCCGCCGCGGUAACAC
rnacentral:rRNA from 1 species